GGCUCAGCUGGUACCUGCCUGCCGGCAGGCAGGGAGCAGCGGUUUCGUAAACCGCAGGUCGUCAGUUCAAUCCUGACCGCCA
rnacentral:tRNA from 1 species